rnacentral:rRNA from 1 species
UACGGGGGGGGCAAGCGUUGUUCGGAAUUACUGGGCGUAAAGGGCUCGUAGGUGGCCAACUAAGUCAGACGUGAAAUCCCUCGGCUUAACCGGGGAACUGCGUCUGAUACUGGAUGGCUUGAGUUCGGGAGAGGGAUGCGGAAUUCCAGGUGUAGCGGUGAAAUGCGUAGAGAUCGGGAGGAACAUCUGUGGCGAAGGCGACUGCCUGGACCAGCACUGACACUGAGGCACGAAAGCGUGGGGAGCAAACAGG